GUUCGUUCUUAUUUUGUACUGUUACACCACUGUCCAAGGUUAAGGGGAGGAUUGGGAUCCCGCUAACAUGUUUAACCUCGCCACAUUCUGUAUGUAUGUGCCUGUCUAAAGUCAGGAGCAUGUAAUUUAGUGGUUGUCGUUUGAUUUUGUGUUACAUAUUGUUUUUUGUUCAUUUUUUUUAUACACAAAUUAGGCCGUUAGUUUUCUCGUUUGAAUUGUUCUACAUUUGUCAUUUCAGGACCUUUUAUAGCUAACUAUGCGGUAUGAGCUUUGUUCAUUGUUGAAGGUGGUAAAGUGACCUAUACUUGUUAAUUUCCGUGUCACUUGGUCUCUUGUUAAGAGUUGUCUCAUUGGCAAUCAUACCACAUCUUCUUUUUU
rnacentral:lncRNA from 1 species